ACUCCAGACUCCUACGGGAGGCAGCAGUGGGGGAUAUUGCACAAUGGGGGAAACCCUGAUGCAGCGACGCCGCGUGGGUGAAGAAGCGCCUUGGCGCGUAAAGCCCUGUCAGCAGGGAAGAAAAUGACGGUACCUGAAGAAGAAGCCCCGGCUAACUCCGUGCCAGCAGCCGCGGUAAUACGGAGGGUGCAAGCGUUGUCCGGAAUCAUUGGGCGUAAAGAGUUCGUAGGCGGUAUGUUAAGUCUGGUGUUAAAUGCAGAAGCUCAACUUCUGUUCGGCACUGGAUACUGGCAAACUAGAAUGCGGUAGAGGUAAAGGGAACUCCUGGUGUAGCGGUGAAAUGCUUAGAUAUCAGGAGGAACAUCGGUGGCGUAAGCGCUUUACUGGGCCGUAAUUGACGCUGAGGAACGAAAGCCAGGGUAGCAAAUGGGAUUAGAUACCCCAGUAGA
rnacentral:rRNA from 1 species